rnacentral:rRNA from 1 species
AGAGUUUGAUCCUGGCUCAGGAUGAACGCUGGCGGCGUGCUUAACACAUGCAAGUCGAGCGGAAAAAUGAAGGUUGGAAUUUAUAAUAUAGCGGCGGACGGGUGAGUAACGUGUGGGUAACCUGCCAUAUACUGGGGAAUAAUCAUUUGAAAAGAUGACUAAUACCGCAUGUCGUCACUAAGGGGCAUCUCUUGGUGAAAAAAGGAGUAAUCCGGUAUAUGAUGGACCCGCAUCUGAUUAGCUAGUUGGUGAGAUAACAGCUCACCAAGGCGACGAUCAGUAGCCGACCUGAGAGGGUGAUCGGCCACAUUGGGACUGAGACACGGCCCAAACUCCUACGGGAGGCAGCAGUGGGGAAUAUUGCACAAUGGGCGAAAGCCUGAUGCAGCAACGCCGCGUGAAGGAAGAAGGGUUUCGGCUCGUAAACUUCUAUCAAUGGGGAAGAAACAAAUGACGGUACCCAAAUAAGAAGCCCCGGCUAACUACGUGCCAGCAGCCGCGGUAAUACGUAGGGGGCAAGCGUUAUCCGGAAUUACUGGGUGUAAAGGGAGCGUAGGCGGCAUGGUAAGCCAGAUGUGAAAGCCCGAAGCUUAACUUCGGGAUUGCAUUUGGAACUAUCAAGCUAGAGUACAGGAGAGGUAAGUGGAAUUCCUAGUGUAGCGGUGAAAUGCGUAGAUAUUAGGAAGAACACCAGUGGCGAAAGCGACUUACUGGACUGAAACUGACGCUGAGCUCGAAAGCGUGGGGAGCGAACAGGAUUAGAUACCCUGGUAGUCCACGCCGUAAACGAUGAGUGCUAGGUGUCGGAGGGAACCUUCGGUGCCGCAGCUAACGCAAUAAGCACUCCACCUGGGGAGUACGAUCGCAAGAUUGAAACUCAAAGGAAUUGACGGGGGCCCGAACAAGCGGGUGAGCAA